rnacentral:rRNA from 1 species
AGAGUUUGAUCCUGGCUCAGGAUGAACGCUGGCGGCGUGCCUAACACAUGCAAGUCGAGCGAACCCUUCGGGGUGAGCGGCGGACGGGUGAGUAACGCGUGGGUAACCUGCCCUGUACACACGGAUAACAUACCGAAAGGUAUGCUAAUACGGGAUAACAUAUGAGAGUCGCAUGGCUUUUGUAUCAAAGCUCCGGCGGUACAGGAUGGACCCGCGUCUGAUUAGCUAGUUGGUAAGGUAACGGCUUACCAAGGCAACGAUCAGUAGCCGACCUGAGAGGGUGAUCGGCCACAUUGGAACUGAGACACGGUCCAAACUCCUACGGGAGGCAGCAGUGGGGAAUAUUGCACAAUGGGCGAAAGCCUGAUGCAGCAACGCCGCGUGAGCGAUGAAGGCCUUCGGGUCGUAAAGCUCUGUCCUCAAGGAAGAUAAUGACGGUACUUGAGGAGGAAGCCCCGGCUAACUACGUGCCAGCAGCCGCGGUAAUACGUAGGGGGCUAGCGUUAUCCGGAAUUACUGGGCGUAAAGGGUGCGUAGGCGGUCUUUCAAGCCAGAAGUGAAAGGCUACGGCUCAACCGUAGUAAGCUUUUGGAACUGUAGGACUUGAGUGCAGGAGAGGAGAGUGGAAUUCCUAGUGUAGCGGUGAAAUGCGUAGAUAUUAGGAGGAACACCAGUAGCGAAGGCGGCUCUCUGGACUGUAACUGACGCUGAGGCACGAAAGCGUGGGGAGCAAACAGGAUUAGAUACCCUGGUAGUCCACGCCGUAAAC